rnacentral:rRNA from 1 species
ACCCUACGGGGGGCAGCAGUGGGGGAUAUUGCACAAUGGGGGGAACCCUGAUGCAGCGACGCCGCGUAGGUAAAGAAGUAUUUCGGUAUGUAAAGCCCUAUCGGCAGGGAAGAAAUUGGACAGUACCUGACUAAGAAGCCCUGGCUAACUAUGUGCCAGCAGCCGCGGCAAUACGUAGGGGGCCAGCGUUAUCCGGAUUCACUGGGUGUAAAGGGAGCGUAGACGGCCAUGCAAGCCUGGGGUGAAAGCCCG